rnacentral:rRNA from 1 species
CCUACGGGAGGCAGCAGUGGGGAAUAUUGGACAAUGGGGGCAACCCUGAUCCAGCAAUGCCGCGUGUGUGAAGAAGGCCUGCGGGUUGUAAAGCACUUUUAGUAGGGACGAAAAUCCGGAUGCUAAUAUCCUCCGGGCUUGACUUAACCUACAGAAAAAGCACCGGCUAACUCUGUGCCAGCAGCCGCGGUAAUACAGAGGGUGCAAGCGUUAAUCGGAAUUACUGGGCGUAAAGGGUGCGUAGGUGGUUUGAUAAGUCAGAUGUGAAAUCCCCGGGCUUAACCUGGGAAUUGCAUUUGAUACUGCCAAACUAGAGUGUGGUAGAGGUAAGCGGAAUUCCCGGUGUAGCGGUGAAAUGCGUAGAUAUCGGGAGGAACAUCAGUGGCGAAGGCGGCUUACUGGACCAACACUGACACUGAGGCACGAAAGCGUGGGUAGCAAACAGGAUUAGAUACCCUUGUAGUC